CCUGCCUACAGGGACUAUAGCGGAGGCCUCUUUCACUAACUAGUGAUUAAUGCUAUGCUCAUGAACCAAUCAAAAAUCAUUGUUCUCAAAUAUUUUUACAUUUGCUAAUGUUCAGCACCCGUGAACUUGCUUAUUAGUUAAGCAAAAUAUUUUUAAUAAAUUUUAUGGCGUUUAACUAUUGGUGUUGUUUGCGGUGUGCAGGGCUUCGCACAGUUCUGAACGGGAGGGAACGCACGACUCCAGAAGUAGGUGCAGGGCCGCCAAAGUGGAACUUUGACAGAGCACACUUCUCUCCAGGCACUGCUCCAUUAGCUGGCUGACAUUUUCAUUUUACAAGGCAUAAUUUGUUUGAUUUUAUUUUCCUCCUCCAAGCGUUAAAAGGACUCCCAGCCCAGACAUGCAAAUGGUCCAGCUGCCUCGUCUAUAUUUCUACAUUCUUGCAUACAUGUCAAGAAAUGGGGACGAAAAUGAGAAUUUUUUUUUGCUUGUAUCUAAUAUUUUUAUUUGACAGGUUAAAAUAAUCUUGGCUUGAGCUCAACAAUCUAGUUGCGUAACACCAAAGUUUUUGAUCUGCUUUUUAUUAUUUUAUUUUAUUGGCAGUAGAUUGAAAGAGCAGUUGUAGAGAGACAAAGACAGCUGAAAGAGUUGUCUAAAAUGGAGAAGAAUACAUUUGAUCAUUAGCCGAAAUUGGCCAUUUUUUCCUGUGUUUGCAGUACUGAAAAAGAGUACUAAAUGCUUGAGUGUUUUGUGGACUCAUCCAUUGGUAAUAGUUGGCGGCUUGUAAAGGUGAGGUAAAUGAGAUUCUCUUUUCCAUCUUAUUUUGUAAUGCCGGAUCAAUUGUGAUUACGGGAACGACUUACUUUUUAUAGGUUUAGCAGGGGGUUUUUGUGAACCAAAUUACUACUGAUUGAAACACCUAUGUUGUGUUGCCGUAUGUUUGGAUGUUAUAGUUAGAGAUGCUGGGUUAAAUAUGUAUAUAGAAUGUAGAGGCACAGACAGGGUACACGAACUAUUUGACAAAAUGGGAUAUGCACAUAAUGGAUUUGGCGGUGAAUCCCAAAUUUCGUCCAUUAGCAGAUGACGAGCUCACUGGAGUGUAGUUUUGGAGCUCGUAUGGCGGGCUAUAGCUUGCAAUCAACAGGAAAAAGGGUCUCCAUGAAGGUAGUGACAAUGUUUUGGCUUUAUUUGCCGCGAGUACUUUGCCUAAGGCCAAAUGCUUAGGACUGUUUCUCAAAAGCGGGUGUGAAUUGUGACAGAGUUUUAGGCAUUGUGUCAAAUACUUUGCAAGGCAUUGUUCCUAUGCGUGGAUGAUUGUAAUUAUGAGAUUGUUUAUUGGUUGUUAAACUCCUGGGCCAAAACUGAUAGUAUGGACAUGUAAGAUGUGAGGCAAGGGAGAAUUCCAUUCAGUAAUUUCAGUACAUUCAGAGAGAGGAACACUAAGGUUUGUUUUCUAGCCAGGACGCUUGGGGACAAGGUACCUGUGAGUGAAAAAGCAGACAAAAGGAGAUUUUCAGGGCCAGAUUCAGUGAGAGAUGUGUUAUCCGACAUGAUCACAAUUGUAGAGGAAGAAAACCUAGAGCAAUACAAUUCCACUAAUUUUCUCUGUAUAGAUGAAUAUGAGGAGCUUUCCUUUCCGAGCUCCCUGCAGCCUGGUUAGAUUUAACGAUCUUUGCUAAGCAGGGAGGUGUGGAAUGGAAUGACAUUGCAGAUGCGAAGUGGAACUUUUUGUCUGAAAGUUUUGCAGGGUAAUCCCUAUUAACUUGUUAUUGAACAAAACCAAGUGAACAAGUUUAGAGAGAUUGGCUAUGGAGAGAGGAAUCUCACCUUCCUUGGGACCACUUUCUUCCCUUUCUUAUCUUGACCUCGGUUACAACCUACUGAAUGGCACAUUUCCGUCCAUAACUUCAGAUCUUGUUAACUUAAAAACCCUUUAUCUAGACUCCAUAAAUUUAAGAGGCUCUAUUUCCUUCUCUCUA